CCUACGGGAGGCAGCAGUGAGGAAUAUUGGUCAAUGGCCGAGAGGCUGAACCAGCCAAGUCGCGUGAGGGAUGACGGCCCUACGGGUUGUAAACCUCUUUUGUCGGGGAGCAAAGAGAGUCACGUUUGCCUCAUUGAGAGUACCCUAAGAAAAAGCAUCGGCUAACUCCGUUCCAGCAGCCGCGGUAAUACCGAGGAUUCGGGCGUUAUCCGGAUUUUUUGGGUUUAAAGGGUGCGCAUGCGGAGGUGCAAGUCAGCGGUCAAAUUGCGGGGCUCAACCCCGUACUGCCGUUGAAACUGCAUCCC
rnacentral:rRNA from 1 species